UAGAGCGGCGGACUGGUGAGUAACGCGUGGGGUGACCUACCUUAAGGCUGGGGAUAGCCAUUAGAAAUAGUGNGUAAUACCGAAUGUGGUUGUGGUGCUGAGGCACGACAAAGAAAGGAGCCAAGGCUCCGCCUUAAGAUGGGCCCGCGUUCCAUUAGCUAGUUGGUGUGGUAAAGGCGCACCAAGGCGAUGAUGGGUAGCCGGCCUGAGAGGGUGAAUGGCCACACUGGGACUGAGAUACGGCCCAGACUCCUACGGGAGGCAGCAGCUAAGAAUAUUCCGCAAUGGGCGAAAGCCUGACGGAGCGACGCCGCGUGGAUGAAGAAGGCCGAAAGGUUGUAAAAUCCUUUUAUUGCUGAAGAAUAAGUGGUGGAGGGAAUGCCAUCAUGAUGACGUUAGGCGAUGAAUAAGCCCCGGCUAAUUACGUGCCAGCAGCCGCGGUAACACGUAAGGGGCGAGCGUUGUUCGGAAUUAUUGGGCGUAAAGGGCGCGUAGGCGGUUAUGUAAGCCUGGCGUGAAAUGGUAGGGCUUAACCCUAUCACGGCGCUGGGAACUGGGUGACUAGAGUCAUGGAGGGGGAGUUGGAAUUCCAGGUGUAGGGGUGAAAUCUGUAGAUAUCUGGAAGAACACCGGUGGCGAAGGCGAACUUCUAGCCAAUGACUGACGCUGAGGCGCGAAAG
rnacentral:rRNA from 1 species